CGGAGGGUGCAAGCGUUGUCCGGAUUUAUGGGUUUAAAGGGUGCGUAGGCGGCCCGAUAAGUCAGUGGUGAAAGCCUCCAGCUCAACUGGAGAACUGCCAUUGAUACUGUCGGGCUUGAGUACAGACGAGGUUGGCGGAAUUGAUGGUGUAGCGGUGAAAUGCAUAGAUACCAUCAAGAACUCCGAUUGCGUAGGCAGCUAACUAGGCUGUAACUGACGCUGAGGCACGAAAGCGUGGGGAGCGAACAGGAUUAGAUACCCUGGUAGUCCACGCUGUAAACGAUGAUCACUCGAUGUCGGCGAUAAACUGUCGGCGUCUUAGCGAAAGCGUUAAGUGAUCCACCUGGGGGAGUACGCCCGCAAGGGUG
rnacentral:rRNA from 1 species